GCCGGUCCUCGGUCGUGGUCGCCGGGAGCGGGCUUCGUCCUCCCCGGGGGCUUCGACUGAGCACCGGC
rnacentral:ncRNA from 1 species